UACGGGGGGAGCAAGCGUUGUUCGGAUUUACUGGGCGUAAAGCGCGCGCAGGCGGCGGUGUUGGCCCGGCGUGAAAGCCCCCGGCUCAACCGGGGAGAGUCGUCGGGGACCGCACCGCUUGAGGGCGGUAGGGGCUGGUGGAAUGCCUGGUGUAGUGGUGAAAUGCGUAGAGAUCAGGCAGAACACCUGGGGCGAAGGCGGCCAGCUGGGCCGUCCCUGACGCUGAGGCGCGAAGGCGUGGGGAGCGAACGGG
rnacentral:rRNA from 1 species